UACGGGGGGAGCAAGCGUUGUUCGGAAUUACUGGGCGUAAAGGGCGCGUAGGCGGCCUGUUAAGUCGAACGUGAAAUCCCCGGGCUCAACCCGGGAACUGCGUCCGAUACUGGCAGGCUUGAAUCCGGGAGAGGGAUGCGGAAUUCCAGGUGUAGCGGUGAAAUGCGUAGAUAUCUGGAGGAACACCGGUGGCGAAGGCGGCAUCCUGGACCGGCAUUGACGCUGAGGCGCGAAAGCCAGGGGAGCAAACGGG
rnacentral:rRNA from 1 species